rnacentral:rRNA from 1 species
AGUAACGGCGAGCGAAAGGGGAAGAGCUCGUAGCCGAAUCCUUGGCCUGCGGCCCGGGAAAUGUGGCGUGUGGGAGGCGUUAUCCUCCGGGCUGCCGUUCCGGCGCAAGUCCCCAUGAGAGGGGCAUCCUUCCCGGAGCGGGUGCUAGGCCCUUACCGCCUUCGCGGCGGCUCGGAGAGACGUUCUCCCGGGAGUCGGGUUGCUUGGGAGUGCAGCCCAAAGAGGGUGGUAAACUCCACCUAAAGCUAAAUACGACCGAGAGACCGAUAGCAAACAAGUACCGUGAGGGAAAGUUGAAAAGCACUUUGAAGAGAGAGUUCAAGAGUACGUGAAACCGUUCGGAGGUAAACGGGUGGGGCUUCGAAAGCCGACGCAGGUGGCGGGUUCACGUGCCGCGGGGUUCGUCUCGCCGCGAGGUUCGGCCCCGGGAAGGGGGUCCGAUCGGCGUGUUUCGGAUCCGCGGCAUCGCACGUCCGCCCCCUCGCCAUUGGGACGCCGCGACGGGUUGGACGGCCGUCGUGGGGCCGGGAAGGAAAGGUGGCCGUCUUUCUUCGGAUCGACGGUGUUACAGGCUCCCGUGCCCGAGGGGCCGUCCGACCGUGGAAGGGUACAUCUCUCGCAGACGCUCCUUGCCGAGGCAGCGGCUAUGUUCGGGCUCCGUCUCCCCCCGGGUCGUCUCACCCUCCGGGUGUGCACCUUGUCGGAGCGGGUUCCCCGGGUUGCGCCGCGUGGAGCGCGAGGUCUGCGGCGAGUAGGUCGGGCUCCCACCCGACCCGUCUUGAAACACGGACCAAGGAGUCCAAUGCGCGUGCGAGUCCCCGGGACUUGUUCAGGCCCGUGGGCGCAAUGAAAGUGAAGGGCAUCUCGGGUGUCCGUGUUGGGAUCCCCCCGUUUGCGCAGGGCGCACCAACGGCCCGUCCCGAACCGGCAUCGGUUGGACGGAGCGAGAGCACGUGCCUUGGGACCCGAAAGAUGGUGAACUAUGCCUGGGCAGGACGAAGCCAGAGGAAACUCUGGUGGAGGUCCGUAGCGAUUCUGACGUGCAAAUCGAUCGUCAGACCUUGGUAUA